ACUCCUACGGGAGGCAGCAGUGGGGAAUCUUGGACAAUGGGGGCAACCCUGAUCCAGCCAUGCCGCGUGAGUGAUGAAGGCCUUAGGGUCGUAAAGCUCUUUCGCCUGUGAUGAUAAUGACAGUAGCAGGUAAAGAAACCCCGGCUAACUCCGUGCCAGCAGCCGCGGUAAUACGGAGGGGGUUAGCGUUGUUCGGAAUUACUGGGGCGUAAAGCGCGCGUAGGCGGAUUAGUAAGUCAGAGGUGAAAUCCCGGGGCUCAACCCCGGAACUGCCUUUGAUACUGCUAGUCUUGAGUUCGAGAGAGGUGAGUGGAAUUCCGAGUGUAGAGGUGAAAUUCGUAGAUAUUCGGAGGAACACCAGUGGCGAAGGCGGCUCACUGGCUCGAUACUGACGCUGAGGUGCGAAAGUGUGGGGAGCAAACAGGAUUAGAUACCCUGGUAGGAUAGCC
rnacentral:rRNA from 1 species